GAACAAGCUCUUCUAACCUUCCAGUUGAGGCAGCUUUCUGCUCAUCUCUACAGAAUCUCUCCACCGGGAUCAGGGAACACCCUGGACAUGGCCUCAGAGAUCCACAUGCCAGCCCCAAAGUGCCUCAUUGAGAACACCAAUGGGCAACUGCGGGUUAAUCCAGAAGCUCUGAAGAUCCUGUCUGCCAUCAGGCAGCCUGUUGUGGUGGUGGCUAUCGUGGGCCCCUACCGCACAGGCAAGUCCUACCUGAUGAACAAGCUGGCCGGGAAGAAAAAGGGCUUCUCUCUGGGCUCCACGGUGCAGUCUCACACGAAGGGCAUCUGGAUGUGGUGUGUGCCUCAUCCCAAGAAGCCAGACCAUACUCUGGUUCUGCUUGAUACCGAGGGCCUGGGGGAUGUGCAGAAGGGAGACAACCAGAAUGACGCCUGGAUCUUUGCCCUGGCGGUUCUCCUGAGCAGCACCUUUGUGUACAACAGCAUAGGAACCAUCAAUCAGCAGGCCAUGAACCAACUACACUAUGUGACAGAGCUGACACAUCGAAUCAGGGCAAAAUCGUCACCUGAUGAACAUGAGGUCCAAGACUCAGCCAACUUUGUGAGCUUUUUUCCAGACUUUGUGUGGACUCUGAGAGAUUUCUCCCUGGAGCUGAUAUUAGAUGGACAACCCAUCACUGCUGACGAGUACCUGGAGUAUUCACUGAAGCUAAAGCAAGGAAAUGAUAAAAAAAUUAAAUACUUUAAUGAACCUCGGUUAUGUAUCCGAAAGUUCUUCCCAGAGAAAAAGUGCUUCAUCUUUGAUCACCCUGCUCAUAGGAGUUGCCUCAGCCACCUGGAGCACCUACAAGAGGAAGAUUUGAACCCUGAAUUCAGAGAACAAGUUGCAGACUUCUGCUUCUACAUCCUCAGCCAUUCCAAGGCCAAGACUCUCUCAGGCGGUAUCACAGUCAAUGGGCCUCGUCUAGAGAGCCUGGUGCUGACCUAUGUCAAUUCCAUCAGCAGUGGGGAUCUGCCCUGCAUGGAGAGUGCAGUCCUGGCCUUGGCUGAGAUCGAGAACUUGGCUGCAGUGCAAAAGGCCAUUGCCCACUAUGACGAGCAGAUGGGCCAGAAGUUGAAGUUGCCCACGGAAACCCUCCAGGAACUGCUAGACCUGCACUUGGCCACUGAGAAAGAGGCUAUUGAAGUCUUCAUGAAGCACUCUUUCAAGGAUGUGGACCAAGUGUUUCAGAAAAAAUUAGGGGACAAGCUACAAGCAAAGCUAGAUGACUUUUGUAAACAGAACAUGAAAGCGUCCUCAGAUUACUGCAUGGCUUUAAUUCAGGACAGUUUUCAUCCUCUAUAUGAAGAUGUGAAGCAGGGAACAUUUUCUAAACCAGGAUGUUAUUAUAUAUUUAUUAAGAAGAUGAAUGAGCUGAAGGAUAAGUACCACCAGGUCCCCAGAAAGGGGGUACAGACAGGAGAGACACUGAGGAAAUAUUUGGAUUCCAAAGAGGGUGUGGUUGAUGCACUUCUACAGACUGAUCAGUCGCUGACAGAAAAGGAAAAAGAGAUUGAAGUGGAACGCAUGAAGUCUGAAGCUGCCGAAGCUGCAAACAAAAUGUUAGAGGAAAUGCAAAAGAAGAAUGAACAGAUGAUGCAAGAAAAAGAAGCGAGUUAUCAGGAACAUGUGAGGCAACUGUCUGAGAAGAUGGAAAAGGAGAGGCCCCAGUUAAUAGCAGACCAAGAGAGGGUUCUAGCCCUUAAACUUCAGGAACAGGAACGACUUCUCCAGGAGGGGUUCCAAAAGGAGAGCAUGAAACUUCAUGUUGAGAUUGUAUACCUCAAGAAGAAACAGGAAGAACCACUACCAUCCUGGGAGCCACUCAAGGCAAAUGUCUAG
rnacentral:lncRNA from 1 species